rnacentral:lncRNA from 1 species
CUGUCAGCACAUGAGUGGUUCGAGCAUGCAAAACAGAUUAUUUCUUGAAGGUUUAGAGAGUGGCACAUGCAAAUUUACUUGGAACAGCAGGUAGAUACCGCAAAUAGGUAGGUAUGGUGGACUCUCAUGGAAAAACUUUUGGGUUUAUGGGAGUGGAUGCACAAGAAGUAUUCCCGCUUAGUACAAGUGAAGGCUAGCAAAAGACUGGGAAGCGACCAACUAGAGAGCGACAACAGUCAUCAAGAUGCAAUGAGUUUGACUAACAUUGAAUGCAAGCAUGAACAGGAUAUAAAUCACCAUGAAUACGAACAUCAUAGAGGCUUUGUUGAUUUUGUUUCAACUACAUGCAUGAACAUGCGCCACGUCAAGCCACUUGAAACAUUCAAAGGAGAAUACCAUCCUAUCGUACUACAUCAUAGUCAUCUCAAAAUCUAUGUUGGCAUUCAAGACAAGCCAUUAUAAGCUCUCAGCUAAAUAAGCAUGGCAUCAUAAACUAUGAUCUCUAAGUUGUCAUUGCAAACAUCGUUCUCUCACAACAAAGCUAAAUCUGGGUCGACAAGAUAGUCAUAUUUACAAAAACAAAAUAGAUAGAGUUCAUACCAGCUUUUCAGUCUCAGUCACUUCAUCAUAUAUCAUCAUUGUUGCCUUUCAUUUGCACGAUCGAACGAUGACAACGAUAAUAAGCGCAUUGGACUAAGCUGAAUCUGCAGGCAAACACAAAGGAGAAGACAAAGUAAUAUGGCUCUUUGAAAGCUAAACAGGUAAGCAUGCAAGAACCAAUAAACAUUGUAACCAAUAUCUUCUACCUUGACACAAAGAAAAAGAAAACUAUUUACACGGGAAAGCUCCC